rnacentral:rRNA from 1 species
GAUGAACGCUGGCGGCGUGCCUAAUACAUGCAAGUCGAGCGAACAGACGAGGAGCUUGCUCCUCUGACGUUAGCGGCGGACGGGUGAGUAACACGUGGAUAACCUACCUAUAAGACUGGGAUAACUUCGGGAAACCGGUGCUAAUACCGGAUAAUAUAUUGAACCGCAUGGUUCAAUAGUGAAAGACGGUUUUGCUGUCACUUAUAGAUGUAUCCGCGCCGCAUUAGCUAGUUGGUAAGGUAACGGCUUACCAAGGCAACGAUGCGUAGCCGACCUGAGAGGGUGAUCGGCCACCCUGGAGCUGAGACACGGUCCAGACUCCUACGGGAGGCAGCAGUAGGGAAUCUUCCGCAAUGGGCGAAAGCCUGACGGAGCAACGCCGCGUGAGUGAUGAAGGUCUUCGGAUCGUAAAACUCUGUUACUAGGGAAGAACAAAUGUGUAAGUAACUAUGCACGUCUUGACGGUACCUAAUCAGAAAGCCACGGCUAACUACGUG